rnacentral:rRNA from 1 species
GAUGAACGCUAGCGGCAGGCCUAAUACAUGCAAGUCGAACGGUGUCUUCGGACAUAGUGGCGCACGGGUGCGUAACACGUAUGCAACCUACCUUACAUUGGGGGAUAGCCUUUCGAAAGGGAGAUUAAUACCGCAUAAGACAGUAGCUGGGCAUCCAGCAGCUGUUAAAGAUUUAUCGAUGUAAGCUGGGCAUGCGUCCAAUUAGCUAGUUGGUGAGGUAACGGCUCACCAAGGCAAUGAUUGGUAGGGGAACCGAGAGGUCAAUCCCCCACACUGGCACUGGGAUACGGGCCAGACUCCUACGGGAGGCAGCAGUAGGGAAUAUUGGGCAAUGGACGCAAGUCUGACCCAGCCAUGCCGCGGGCAGGAUGAAGGCGUUAUGCGUUGUAAACUGCUUUUAUACAGGAAGAAACGACUCUUGCGAGAGGCAUUGACGGUACUGUAUGAAUAAGCACCGGCUAACUCCGUGCCAGCCGCCGCAGUAACAC